AGAGCUGACUUUUGGAGGGCUGAGUUGCAGGCGACUGGCGCAUCCCGGAGAUGGCGGGGCAGGGAGGGAGGGAAGGAGGAGGGGGUGGGGAGGGAGGUGCAGAUUUGCACGGCUGGCCUCAGCGGGAGGCGCGGAAAUGCAAGCCGAGCAUGCUGGCGUGAAAGCCCCUGGGCCCUGGCACCCCCAAAACGACCCCCCACCUCAGUCCCUGCCCCCACUGCCCACGGCUGCCCUUCUUCCUUUUCUUUCAUAUACCCUACCCCACAACUUGCGUUGGCGACCCAAAUUCAAAGCAUUUGGUGCAUAUAUAUAUAUAUAUGCACCAAAUAUAUGUGUGUGAGUGUAUAUAUAUAUGUAUAUAUAUUUUUUUGCUAUGUAACUGCAUGUCUUUUUUGGGGGGAGGGGCAACCCUGUUCAGACCCCCAUUUGCGAACCCGCCAAAUGGAGGACGCAUUUGAUGGGCUCAGAAAAAAAAUUAGUACAGCUCCAUAUCUGCAUGGACUCAAUACUUUUAAACUCUCGGACUGAAAGAUAAGAACACACACACACACACACACUGGUACAGGAAAUACAGCCAGACCGGAGCCUUUUCAGACCGCAGGUCCUUGUGCCCGCCCAGUGGAGAAAAUUGAUGCUCUGGAAGGAUAUACUCAGAGAAUCGGAUCUAGCGUCUCCUAACGCAGCUCGCAAACAAGCAAAAGGUUGAUGAUGCAGCUCUGUGCCCAAAGACUGAGAAGACAGAAAGACAAAAGAAGAAACAGCUGCACUUCCAGGCAUACUCCAGGCAGGGGCUGGAGAAGGACUAACAACUUCCCAAGGAAGAGGCUGACUCUGGAUGGAGCCCUGAGAAAUCAGAAUCCAGGAUUUGGGCCUAUUAAGACACUGAAGCUUCUGACUUUUGAGAAUUUAAUAUGCCUUCAAGCAAAGUCCCUCAUAUCUGCUAUCUCUUUGAAUGCUUGCCAAAACUCUUAAGGAGGAGCAAUGGUAUAAUUCCUUACUUCUAUAGCUGAGGCUCAAAGAAUUGUCAAUUACUUGGCCAAAUUUUACAGCUGUGAAAUAACCAUAAAGGAUUUUAACCCAGAUCUUGUUGGAAUCCAGAGCCCAAAGACUGACCACUCUGUAAGCCCCUUGCAGGGCUGUGCCAUACAACCAGAUAAUGGAAAUAUUGUACAUUUGCAAUUGUUUUCUCUAGCCACAUCUGGCUAUUGAGCCCCUGAAAUAUGGAUACUGGGCUUAAGGAAUUAAAAUAUUUAUUUUUUGGUA